GCCGACUUAGCUCAGAUGGUAGAGCAACUGACUUGUAAUCAGUAGGUCGAGAGUUCGAGUCCCUCAGUCGGCACCA
rnacentral:tRNA from 2 species